AGAAUUUCAGCAAUGGAACGGCAGAACAGAGGCCAAAGGAAUUGGCAUUCAUUUGCUUGUGUUUCAAAAUCAUAUCUAGCUUGAGAGAAAGAGGGAAGGACAAGAAAUAAACAUCUCUAAGAAAAACAGCAAUAUAAAACCUACAGUUUAUGUUUGCUAGGACAAAGAGUAUUUAUGUACAUUAUACCAUUAACCAAAGAUAUAAAAUGCAGAAAUCAUAUUUGGCUUUUGAGCAUAACAGGCUUGACUGACAUCCCUUUUUCCAAUUUUGGUUUGGGUUUAUCUUUAUUUUUUGUAUUUUUACUUAUUUUAUUUGCUGAAAUUCUAUGUUUAGGUUUAUUUCAGUGUUGAGUGCUAAGCUGAUUUUUGUUUUUAAAUUAGAGGCCUGUACUACAGUUUGAACUGGAGAUUAAGUAAAUUCCCGAUAAAUCAAGUUCUAACAGGAAAUGUUGGAAUCCCAUUGUGAACAGGGCCAAACUACAUUAAAAAAAAAAAAAAAAAAAAAAAAAUUCUUCUCAUUCACUUAGAAUCCAGUGCAGAUAAGAACAGAAGCUCAGAAUGUCAGAAAAUUCCUCAGAUCAUAGAUUGCCUCAGAAAACCCCAAAAAUAUAAGGCUGCUUAUUAUCUAAGAUUGCAAUCCCUGCAAUCUGGUACUUUUUUCAGGAUGUUCCCAUUGCAAACACUGUUGAAUCUUUAUAUUAUCAUCUCCAUGCUUUUUAUGAUAGCCUAAGGAAGAAAGAUGUUUUCCUUCACGCUUUACAAAGGAAAGCGAAAAUUUACUAAACACAGUCCCCUGAGUCACUGUGACUUUUUUCCCCUUCAGGCAAGGAAGAUACAAAUGACAACAUACUUGAGUUAUGGAACUUUCUUGCUUGCUUUCUUCUUACAUUGAUUUGUUUUACCAACUCUGAUUACUAAAUUUAGUUGUGUAAAUUCAAUUCAUUGCACAAAAAAAUUACCAAGUUUUUUGGGGGUGGCACUUUACUACAAGUCGAAGAAAAACCUUCCAAGGAGGACUUCUAAAUUGAUAUAGUAGGUUUUUUUGCAUUAUUGCCUGGCCUGGAUGCCAUUCUUUACCUUCAAGGUCUCUUAACAAAGUGUCAAAACCUUUUUAAUUAAUCUAUUAAUUUUAAAAACUAAAAGGUACAGAAUGAAAAUUACCUUUGCCUUCCUGAGAAGUCCAUGUCAUGACCAUAACAUGCCAUCUUUGGUACACGUUCCUUGAAUGACAUAGAUGAAAAGGAGAAGUAAUACACACAAAGAAGCACCUAUGCACUCAGCCAGACCUAACAUCACUCAGAAGCUAAAUAUUCCACUCCUAGCUUUACCUUAGGAUAGUAAAAGGGGUGUACAUUACAUAUAUUGGUUAGUUUGAUAGAAUAUUCUUGGGCAAUGUUCAAAAACAAGCAAUAAGGAAAAUUGUUACAGCCAUGCAUAAUUAAAUUCAUACACAAGGAUUCUACAUUUAUAUACAGGCGAAUUACUUAAAAAUAACAUAAACAAAUUACAAUGGUAAAAAAGAGAAAAUAUUCAAGUAUUUUGGCUGAAUCACACAGUAAAUAUAUGGAUGUCUGUAAAAUACAUAUUUAUAUUUUAGAGUUGAAUACUUUAUCCACACCAGCAAAUUCAAAAAAGGGAGCAAACUAAACCUCAAUGCUGAGAGGUUGAAAAAUUAAAGAAAAUGUAAUUAGCCAUGAUUUUUCUAAAAAAGAAGGUGUUACCUCUUAGAGAUUACCAAUGUCAGGGAUGCUGGCCUAAUUUCUAGUAGUAAAUAGUAAAGUAACAAAGGAUGAUUGAACUAGUGCUUCUCUGAUUGCUUUAGCUGCUAUCCUUACUAGAAAAGACCUACUGUAGGCUGCACAGAUUUCUUUUUUAGAGCGCAGGUCACCAAAAAAAAAAAAAUGAGCCUGUGUCUGUAAAAUUCUUUCAAGAGCUUUAGCAAAAGGAUGUGAUUUCACCAUAUACCAACUAAUAGCUGCUUCCUAGUGGCUUGUGAAUCUCCAGAGGGCUCCUGAUGAUACAGAAAUAGUUUCUGCAUAAACUAGCUUAGAUUCUUCAGUAAUCUUUCUAUGCCACUUCGCUGCAACAGUGUAGUAAGUAAAGACUAUUAGAGAUAAUUUACUAAAACUUCUAGGGGUUUCUAAUUUAUCCUGUGGCUCUUUCUAGCAAUAGUUCUUUUAUUGCAUGUGAUGCUGUCAGCUAAAUGUGACUUAGUGGAUUGGGCAGCCUAUCAAAUUUUGCAAGCUCAUUUAGAAAGCCCUUAUGGAGCUUAAAUUCAGAGUUUUCUCUUGAAAGCACAAGCAUGUCCCUAAAGAGAGCUAAGAGAGACCAAAUACUUCUGGCAUUUUCUUUAAAAAACCCCAAACAAAUGAAAACACAUAAUCUUGUAGGGAAUUUCAGGAAAAUGCCGGAAUGGCAACUCAAAGAAGUAUCUACACUGUGACUUUAAAAAGUAGCAGUUUAUAUUAGAUUUAAUAUAGCAGAGAAAUCUGUGCUGCCAGUACUGGCUGACAAGCAUCCUCAGCUUUUCCAAGAGGAACAUGUCUAUGGGAAGAGUGCAGUUGACUCUUGAUGAGCAUUUAGGCUUAGACUUCUGAGCAAAGACUGUCAACAUGAAAAGUAUUCUUGCCAACCAUAGUGGUGCUUUUGCAAUACCACUAAACACAGUUUCUUUUUUCUGUCUGAAUAUAGCAUUUCUUAUAUUUUUUCUUGCUUUCCAUAUGGGUAUCAUCUGCUGUUCUGAAUGCUUAAUAGUGUAAUGUAACAGGAGCAUGUUCACAAGACAUGUCUUAUCGAUACCAACAUCUCCAGAAGCAGCUCUUGUGAAAAUACUACACAUCACAUUAGAGUGAAACACCAAACAUAACUCACCUCAUCAUGAUUAGAAAAUCACAUUCAUCGUAUUUAUCACUGUUACGAUAAAUUAGUAAAUAACAAGAAGGAAAAAAAGCUUUCUUACUUACUUAGGCUAAUGAUGAUAGUGCCACACUCUAUUUCUUAAUAGCAGGAUUUUUUAAUAGUGAAAUAGUAACCAUUAUUGUAAAAGAGAAAGCUACUGUAAGUGUUAAACAUCAAAUAAGCCACAUCUAGCACCCCUGAAGACAAGAUCUGGAAAACUGCAAGAGCUGAUCAAUUCACUCAAUAGUCAUCAGCUGAGUGAUUUUCAACAUGACAACGAAGGAUGGUCUCAGUUCUCUUUUUUAUAUUCUAUUUUUACAUAAGAAAUAAAGUUUAAGAAACUUUUAGGAAAUUAAAAAUUUAAGAGACUAAAAAGGCUAGGUCAAAUGUUGUGAGUCGCUAUUAGAGCAGACUACAUUUCACUAAUUCUAAAUCAAAAUUUACCUUGUCAAUAAGAAUUUGACACAAAACUUCCCGUUUUUAUUUUAUUUAUUGAUAGUAGUCUAAUUAGUCUAACUCAUAUAAUUUUUCUUAUUCUGACUAAAAUUUCCAUAGGGAUGGCAAUUAUGUAGAAUGAGCUCAGGAAGAUUGUCUGGAACGAUAACAAAAGAGCUGUUCUGGGUAAUGUUUGGUGUAAGUAAUACUAGAGGGGUCUAGAGGUCUUUUUAUGGGACUAGGAAAGUACAUACUGUUAUUUAGUUUUGUACCAAAGAACAGAAGGCAAAUCUUUACAUUAUGUGCAACCUUUAUAUUCACUGAAAGUGGGAAGAGCAGAGGGAAGGGGAGAUGUUGAGUAUCACCUGACAGGUCUCAUCUACAGGAGUUACAGAGAGGUGGGCAAAACAAAAAAACAUGUGCAGUAAAAAAUAAAAUCAUCACAUCAACACUAGAUAAACAGAAGAAAUCGGCAUAGGCAAAAUAACAGAUAAUUUAUAUUUUUACAGUCUGAAAUUUCGUGUAAGACUUUCAUAUAAGACUUCAGAAUAUCAGUGAAAAUUUUACUGAUGGAGAUGUUAGGAAAUGUAAAAUGUUGAUGGAGAUGUCAGGAAAAAAUUUAUCUCAUCUUUAAAGUCAGAGUGAAUUUUGUUAGGUCUCAAUUCACACAGCACACACUACUGAUGGGAUGGUAGCAAUGACUGCUUAGAGUUGGGCUCGAUUUGGCUUGGUAAGCUGUGUUAAUUGUGAGUUCCAGUUCACCUAUUUGACAUAGUAUUUUGAGUAAACAAAGCCCUUAAAUUGAAAAGUGAAUGCUAUUCAAAUAUCUGUGAGAGUUUUAUGCAAUAUUGUGUAAUUUGCUUUACUGCAGCUGAACAGAAUGUGUGUGAAAAAACAGAGACAGAAAGCAGCAGAGUGCAUUGUAUUCUUCUUGACCAUAUCAAACCAUGAUGCCUAGAGAGGCUACCUGGAACAGAGGCUAGACAUUGUUAAAGGAAUAAAGUAGGUAUUUAUUAAAAGGCCUUCAAAGGAUACACCUUGGGCAGUACAAGAGCCUGGCCUUGGCUACACUCAAGAUUGACCCAAGAUGGAGGACCAGUCACGAGUUUUCACACUUUUAUAAGCUUUGGUCCAUUUGCAUAUUGGGGGUUAAUUGUCCAAUUACAGCUUUAGGUCAAGUCCCAUCCUCCCAGAUUGCUCUCCUCAAUUUGCUGUUGUUUACAGUUUUUGGGCCUGAAGCUGCAAUGGUGUCCUUGGUUCUCAGGCUGGAAAAGGAUUGUUUUGUCUAACUAAACUGUGAAAACUUGUAAACACUUUAUAGGAAGCUUAGAGUUAUACUAAAGCAGUACAGAAUCUGGAAAAUAUGAAAGCUAAAACUUAGGGCAUCAACCAGACUCUCAGAACUUUUCCAUGCUUCCCAGAAGCAUCACCCACACAAGGAACAUAACCCAGCAUGCUAAGGGACAGAAGCUGCAACCUCAUCCCUGCAAGUAAGAGUCUUCAUAGAUUCACAGUUUAAUGCUUCUGAGAACAUAGUUUAGCUCUUUGGUGUACCACAAGUAUGCAGCCGUUUUGUUAAAAAGUCCCAGCUGUAUAGUAAUCAGUGCACAUUUUUAAUCCAUCCAUUCUCUGUUAUGAAAUGCCAAUAGAGCAUAAUAGAGAAUUUUAACAAGCAUCCACUCCCUGCAGUUAUAAUCUUCACUUCAGCCAGCUCCUCAUUUCUGUAGGUGGUGAACCAGUACACCACACAGAUUCAGCAAGACGGUAAGUUAGAGAGUGAUUUACUGGGACAAAUGACAUAGAAGUAGGAGGAUUAGAAGAAUGUCACCCUUGUCUAGUAAUACUAUUCAGAUUGUCCUUGCUUCAUAACAUAAAAACAAUCAGGGUGCUACGUAUCAUACCUCCCUCUGCCCUUCAACAUCCCAGCCAGGUUCAGCUGUGAGAACAGAGAUCAACCCUUGGUAGCACCACACAGACAUUCGGUGUGGAGGGGUUUUGAGUUGAGUGGUGUUGACUUUGUUUUUUGUUGGUUUUUUUCAAUAGAAAAGCCUGGGAAAAGGCUUCAGUAUGUUUCAUUUUUUUUAAAAGCACUUUUAAGCACUUAUACUUUUAAAAAAGUAAAGCAGUAGAAUAAUUUUUUAACAACACAGGCAGCUGUAAAAUGGAAUCUAACAAAAUGGUCUGUUAUUUAUCUGCACAAUGUCAUUCCGAUUUUGCGAAUAUCUUAAGGCUAACUUCCUGCAACUUUUCAUUGAAGUGAGUGCUUUUCAUGUCUCCUCUUUGAAAAUGAAAAUCUUUACAUUUUUAAACAUGGGGAUGUCUGUAAUCAGCAAUAUUAUUUAAAUGAGAACCUCAGCAACUCUCUGCUGAACCCCAGAAGUCCUUGCCAGCCUUAUUACUAUAAUUAUGCCUGAUGACUUGCUUAUGGGAAAGGACAAAUCUCUCCUCUUAUCUGGAAGGUUUCCCUGCUCAGUAUCCAGCAGUGUCCCUUUUCCAAACUACAUGGCUGUUAAUAGGCUGUAACAUAGAGGCUACAGAGAAACAAGACAGAUAAGAGCCUGUGAGGGAAAUUUCUCAAUCAUGAAAUCACACAUAUGGCUGGUUGUUCCUCUGAAAUCUCUGAAGAAACAUCCAAUUUUUUAGACAUAUGGACAUGAAAUGGAUCAUUCUGCCUGUACAUGUGACAUCACAUUAUCUGUUUGUCGUGGUUUUGGGUUGACCAAUUUAAAAUUUCCCCAAUUUUGAGCUAUCUUCAUUAUUCACCUGGAUAUAAUGUGCAACCUAUUCUCUGCCAAAAAGAUGCAAUGUGAAAAUAAUUAUGUAUGAAGAUAUUUACAAAACAUUAGAAUACUUUAUUGAUGAAAACUGACCAUUGUAACUUCAAAAAUUUUGUAAGAGAAGUAACAUAUUUAAUAAUUAUAAUAGUAAUUACAAUAGUAAUUAGUCCAUUAAUGGUGUUUUUAGUCAUCUGCAGAACAACUGUCAUAAUUUUAUAAUUCUCAUUAUUCAUAAAAGAAAAAUUCCUGAGUAAAUGAUUCCAUUUCAGUCCUGUCUAUGCAAUUCUAACCAAACUAGAUUUAGUUUCUGUGAUCGAAAAUUACAGCUCACUCUAUUUAAAAAUAUUUUAGGGACCAGAUUAUCAACAAAGAAAUAGAAAAUUAUUAAAAUAUUUCUGAAAGCUAGCACAAAGAGAAAUUGAAAAUUGUAAGUACAAUCAGUACUAACACCUCAGUAAGUACACCUCAUAUACUGGUAUAUAAAUUAUGGGUGUCUGAAAUUUCAACACAAAACACAUAAAUUAAUAUAAGUGUAUCUGCCUACAGUCUCUGAAUUUUAGUCUAAAAAUGAAGCUCAGAAGUAUCUGUAAAUUGGAGAAAUUUAUUUAGAUACGUACUUGUGUAAAAUGUUUUGCUUAGAGCAUGCAUUCUUACAAAUUAAAAAAUUGAUUUAACCCUUAUGCUUUUGAAAGGAAAAAUCCUAUUCUGAGUUAAAACUAUGAUUUUGACAGAUAUAAAAAUGCCUAAAGAUGGACAACUAACUCCCAACCCAUAUUGAAAUCAAUAGUGGCUACGCAUUACCAAUAUUCAGAAGUCUAAAGACAAAUAUAAAUCUCAAAAUAAAUGUCUACAUUUUGAAAGAAAACUAUUAUCCAUUUAUGUGAAUGAGAUUGUGUUCCCUGUUUGGGAAAUUUAAUCCACAUCUGUUCAAGCAUGUAAAAAUGCCACUACUUCAUAGACACUUCCUCAUAAAAACCUCAUUAUACAGUAGCAGUACUGUAUGCUAAAUUCCCUAAUGCAAAAAAAAAAAAAAA
ensembl:lncRNA